UUUUAUUGAUAUAUGAAAUAUAGCAUAGGCUAGAUGAGAUGCCAAUGCAUGUCAUUAGAAUUAUAUUACUAUUCAAAAUGUUUAAUGAAAUUGAGAUGUAUAAUUGACUUUUUACUUACAAAUGUAAACAAUUUUAAUAGCAAUAUCAAAGCUUUCGUCAUGCCAAACAACCCAAUACAUUCAUUAAUUUAUUGUUUUAAUACACAGGCCUAUCAUUUCAAUGUAAUACAACAUAAAUAUUUGGAUUUCUGAUCACUGUCUUUCCAAUAAUAACAGCUUUUUUCUGCUAAUAUUCAGCUGAUUAGAUGUGCCAAUCAUAUGGUGAAUUCUUUCUGAAAUGCAUCAUUGUAUUAUUAUACGUAUAAUGGUGUAUAAUGGCUGACGAAAAGGAUGGCCAUCUAGUUCAUCUAGCCUAUACGGCCUUGAUUUUACUGUAAUAAUGUCAUUGUCAUUGGGAAUUAUUAGUCCUCGGUUCUCCUCACCGUCCAAGGGCUAUGUCUUUGCCUUCCUCUUCUUUCCUUUUGAAUCAAGUCCUAGUCACUGGCAGAUCCAAAUACCUUUUAUUCUGUCUGUCAACCUUUCUUUGAAAAAUGUAACACAAUUAUACUUGCAAACUCUUGAUCUUUUAACUAGUUGACAAAUAGGCUUAUGUCUUUUAGAUAACAUCUAAUUACGAUCAUAUUUUUAAAAGUCACGACUUUAAAACAAACAGGAAGGUUUUUGAAGUUAGUUUGCCUAUCGCCUCCCUCUCUCAGUUUGUGUGAGAAACACAGUAUGAAUGAAGAUCACGGUAUUUUGCUAUGAUUGGCUGUACGUGGUUCGAGUCACGCUGAAGACCACGCCCCACAUUGUAUAUUAUGUCUAUGGUUCUUCUCGCUUGCGUCAGUGAGAGUUCCGCGGCGGCAGGAGUAGCACACGUUAGUGACUGCAGCGAUGCAUCCGAAGACCAGUUCUAAGACAGUAUUAGCAUGUAUUUUUGCUCUUGCGAGGUGUUCGUCUGCGGCAUGUAAAGAAUGCCCUGCAAAUCAGGAAAUUUCGUGUGAGAGCCUGCGCUCGUCCCAUGGAUACACAUACAGGGUGCCACCGGGAACCCUAUCCUCUGAAAACUGCGAACAAGGAUGGUACUAUCAGAAUGGGACGUUUAUUGUCGACUCAACUCCGAAUGCCGAUGGAAAGGGGUUAGCGGUUGUAGUGGCUGUCACGCCUCAGAAUCUUACACUGAGUGUCUGCGAAAACCUGCAGUGGCAACUUGACUGUGGCAAGUGUAGCUGUGUUAUCAAUUAUACAACAGCACGUGACCCCCUGCCAAGAAAUAAUACAACAUGGAAUGAAAAAGAUGGCAACGAUUUACCUGCCUGGGGGAUUGCUAUUAUCGUAAUCAUGGUUGUUGGAGCUGUUUCUGCCUUUAUUUUUUUCAUUGGAAAAAGGGCUUGUGAAAAAACAAAACCUGUACUUUAGUGGCGAUGAUUUGUGCCUUCGAGCAAAUCAUCUCAGGUUGCUACAGAGGGACUGUGCCUGGAAUACAUGUUAUAUAAGCCACUUUGGUAAAAAAAAAAACUUUAAAUUACCAAAAUAAUCACUAUUGUACUUUCUUUUUCUUUAUUUUCACAAACAUUGUUGCUUUAGUAGUUUUUAGCGUCUAACUUUUAUGGAUUGUAGAGCUUUGUGUGUGCUUUUUAAUUCAGUGUAACCUUAAAUCUGUCUGGUGCUUACAUGACAUACAGAACUAUAGAGGACACAGACAAUGAAAUUAAGAAAAAUCUAAAACAAAUAUUAAUAAUAAUGAUGAAUUAGAUCUUUUUAUAUAUCUUUGUAUUAUAUAUAUCAUAUACAUAAAUUUAUACAUAAAAAAGUGUAUGUAUGUGUAUNNNNNNNNNNNNNNNNNNNNNNNNNNNNNNNNCUAUUGAUUAAAUUAUAUAUAUAUAAAUCUAGCGUGGCAUAAAGAUCUAUAUUUACUUUGGAUAAUGUUUAGACUGUCAACACCACUUCACUGCCUAAAGCCACGUUCACACUGACCUCUUUUAAAUUUCUGGUGAUAAAAAUGAAUAAUGUCUGUUUUGUCAGUGUGAACCCUCUCUAAAGUCUAAGGCUUUGCGGAGCAAAGUAUUUGUACAACCAGGGCAAGUAUUUAAGUUGCAGCUGUGGAAGCAAAAUGCAAUGAAAUGCUGUGCCAGUGAGUACACACAUCUAAUGCAUUACUAGUUUAAUCCAAAGAAAACUUAUCAAAAGGGCACAGUAAACUGGGAAAGUACACUAAUUUUUACAUUGUCUGCUCCUAAGCUAUGCAUUCUUACCUUACGGGAUAGAUAAAGCACAGAAUAACUUUUGAGGAUUCUGCCAUUGAACUUUUUUACUGACAGCAAACUCUUACAUAAAAAAAUAUGAUGACAGUAUGUAUACCCAGAAUUAAUCAAAUUGGUUUUGUUGCUGUGUGCCAAGCUAUAUAUGAUAAAGUACUCUUUAUUUUGCAUACUAUUGAUUUGUCUAUACUGACUAUCAUUCCUUAAAAAGAAAGGAUGCUGUUACACUUUCCCUCAGUUUCACAGACAAGGCUUAAGCCUAGUCCUAGACUAAAAUGUAAGUCUGAGCUGUUUCAACUAAAACUUGCACUGACUGAUCUUAAAAUAUAUCAGUGCCUUUUUGUCUUGAGAUUCACAAACAAGUAAUUUUUUUGUUUGCUUGUUUUUUUCUAAGCAGUGCACAUUUAUAAAAAAUGCCUAUGUCCUAAUUGAACUAUGGUCUAAUCCUGGCUUAGUCGAAGCCCUGUCUGUGAAACCAGGCCAACGCCAUAUUGUGUGUAAUAAUAUGAUAUUGAUAAAUAAGUUUAGUGUCAGCUGUCAUUGUACUGUGAGAUUUAAAUUUGCACUUCUUGUAGAGAAUUAUGCAAAAUGUAUUAUAUUUCUGUCAUUAGCCGUGUAAGCAUUCUGCUUCAGUGUAUUUUUAAACAUUAUUUUUCAAGAGUAUUUUGAAUUUUUUUUUUGCUAUCUCCUUUGCUAUCUAGGCACCUAUCUUGUUGGAUGGCUUUCUGAUAAUAAAAUUUGAUAAGACCUUCA
ensembl:lncRNA